rnacentral:snoRNA from 1 species
UGUUGAUGAUGACAAUUCCAAAGGCUUGUUUCUCAAAACAUUCGCAGUGGCCGCCUAAGAGCUUUCGCCUUCGCCUGGCUUGAGAGCUUGUGCUGCUUUAUCCUUCCUUGGAUGUCUGAAACU